rnacentral:ncRNA from 2 species
CAUGUUUUGGGUGAUGGAGCUCACCCCGCGUUAAGCGAAACGGCACCGGCUAAUAGCUCCUGUCUAAUA